rnacentral:rRNA from 1 species
GACGAACGCUGGCGGCGUGCUUAACACAUGCAAGUCGAACGGAAAGGCCCUGCUUUUGUGGGGUGCUCGAGUGGCGAACGGGUGAGUAACACGUGAGUAACCUGCCCUUGACUUUGGGAUAACUUCAGGAAACUGGGGCUAAUACCGGAUAGGAGCUCCUGCUGCAUGGUGGGGGUUGGAAAGUUUCGGCGGUUGGGGAUGGACUCGCGGCUUAUCAGCUUGUUGGUGGGGUAGUGGCUUACCAAGGCUUUGACGGGUAGCCGGCCUGAGAGGGUGACCGGCCACAUUGGGACUGAGAUACGGCCCAGACUGCUACGGGAGGCAGCAGUGGGGAAUAUUGCACAAUGGGCGGAAGCCUGAUGCAGAAACGCCGGGUGCGGGAUGACGGCCUUCGGGUUGUAAACCGCUUUCGCCUGUGACGAAGCGUGAGUGACGGUAAUGGGUAAAGAAGCACCGGCUAACUACGUG